GCCUGAUUGAUGACUCAGGGGGACUGUGGCUGCCGCAGGCCUAUUUUAUGAUGUCAUUAGGCAGCUUCGGCCGCGGGAAGGAAUCCCUCCUGACAUCAUAAAGGACUUGAUAUUUCGCUAAUGUUAUCUUGGCGGCGUGUCGCCCUGACAUUUUCUCUUUGCAGCACUCCCCCCAGGACCGGGAGUUGUCUAACUACAGCCUGGAAAAAAUGCAAAACAGACAAAUGCACCCUCGGGGGACAGCGGGAGAAAGCUAAUAGACCAGUCCCCGAAUCCCCACCCACGGAGGUGGUUUAGGUGGGAAGCAUGAUGUGUUUGUCAAGGGGGACCCAAGGCUGCCUUCCUACUGAUUCUCUCCCGCCUUGGGCCGCCUCUGCUCAGCCGGCAGGGAGGAAGUCAGGUGCUGAUGUUCCAGAACAAGCUCUGCCACCCAGAGGCUAUGUGACUUGGGCUAAGCCCUUACCCUCCCGCACCUCAUUUGCCCCAUCCACGCCGCAGGGGUGUGGCCCAGAUAAUUUCAGACUGCGUGAGGCUCUGCUGAGGGCCCUGAAGCUGUUGGGGACGGCCAAAGUGCCACAGAGGUGACUCUACCACCAGACUCCCAGACUCCUGGAUCUGAGCAGACACUGAUGGCACUACUGAGAGCUAAGCACGUUCGAGAGGGGCCGGCAAAGAGGGACUGAACCCAAUCCCGGCUUCCAGAAGUUCCCACCAGGUAAGGUAGGCGCGCUGCAGCCACGCCCUGCUGCCUGCCCUUCCCUAGCACACCAAAGGCUUCCUACUUGCUCAGCUCUGCCAAUGCUGCUCCCUGAGCCUGAGUGCCUGUCCCAUGCCCUUCUAGUAGCUAACACUCCCUCAGCCUUCCAGUGCCUGGUGGGACUACCCACCUUAGGCGGAGUGCCCUCUUCCCAUGGAGAGACCCAGCUGAGUGUGAGUCUCCAAGAAGGACCACCUUGGCCUUGGAUGCUCUUGUAGCUGUGGUGCAUGGAUAUAAAAGAGAAUGCCAGGGAGGGCAGCCCUGACCUCUGGCUGGCCCACAAGGACCAUGCUGACUCUCAGGCUGGUUCAAGAAUCAGCAUUUGGGCACGUCCUCCUGAGCUGGCUGCCCCCAAGCAGGAGGCCCAUGGGACAGGUUUCCUCCCAAGGGCCCCCACUGCCUUGCUAAGGCAGUCAUUCUGAAGCAACGCCCCUCCAGAGCUGGCAGACAAUGACAACCCCUGAUUGCCCAAGCCGGUAGAUGGCUACGUGACACUCUCCAUUAUGAUGAGCUGUUCAUUCAUUCAGCAGAAAUGUAUUGAGUGCCCAUUACUUGCCAGGUAUUAUUUGGAUGGUGGAAACAAAGGCAAAAAUCCCUGUGCUCAAAGAGCUUACAUUCUCUUGGGAAGACAAGCAACAUAGAAAAUAAAUAAGUAAAAAGUAUAAUACGAUAUUGCUGA
rnacentral:lncRNA from 1 species